rnacentral:rRNA from 1 species
GACGAACGCUGGCGGCGUGCUUAACACAUGCAAGUCGAGCGGUAAGGCCCUUUCGGGGGUACACGAGCGGCGAACGGGUGAGUAACACGUGGGUGACCUGCCUUUAGCUCUGGGAUAAGCCUGGGAAACUGGGUCUAAUACCGGAUAUGACUCCGCGGUGCAUGCUGUGGGGUGGAAAGCCUUGUGCGGCUGGAGAUGGGCCCGCGGCCUAUCAGCUUGUUGGUGGGGUGAUGGCCUACCAAGGCGACGACGGGUAGCCGGCCUGAGAGGGCGACCGGCCACACUGGGACUGAGACACGGGCCCAGACUCCUACGGGAGGCAGCAGUGGGGAAUCUUGCGCAAUGGGCGAAAGCCUGACGCAGCGACGCCGCGUGAGGGAUGACGGCCU